UACGUAGGCAGCAAGCGUUGUUCGGAAUUACUGGGCGUAAAGAGUGUGUAGGCGGUGCUCUAAGUUUGGUGUGAAAUCUCCCGGCUCAACCGGGAGGCUGCAUCGAAUACUGGAAUGCUAGAGGGUGGGAGAGGUAAGCGGAAUUCCUGGUGUAGCGGUGAAAUGCGUAGAUAUCAGGAGGAACACCGGUGGCGAAGGCGGGUCUCUGGGCAGUAACUGACGCUGAGGAGCGAAAGCGUGGGGAGCGAACAGG
rnacentral:rRNA from 1 species